rnacentral:lncRNA from 1 species
GUCUAUAUAAUUGUCAUUAAUGAAAUGUUCUUCCUCAUUUUCUAAUAAGAGUCUAACGUAGAAACUCAAAAACCAGCCACUAAAAGGAAUAAACAAACACUUAAGUGCAAAAAUCAUCAACUAAAGAAAGAGGAGAUGAAGUAGAAACACUAAGAAGAUUGCAUUGAAAGUAAAGGAUAGAUAAUGAGAUAUUCACCAACAUUCAUGAGAAGCACUAAAGUGUUUAUUAAACACUUAAAC